AGCAGUAGCCACGGGAAUACGUAGGUGGCAAGCGUUGUCCGGAAUUAUUGGGCGUAAAGGGCUCGCAGGCGGUUUCUUAAGUCUGAUGUGAAAGCCCCCGGCUCAACCGGGGAGGGUCAUUGGAAACUGGGAAACUUGAGUGCAGAAGAGGAGAGUGGAAUUCCACGUGUAGCGGUGAAAUGCGUAGAGAUGUGGAGGAACACCAGUGGCGAAGGCGACUCUCUGGUCUGUAACUGACGCUGAGGAGCGAAAGCGUGGGGAGCAAACAGGAUUAGAUACCCCCGUAGUCCCUGUCUCUUAUAA
rnacentral:rRNA from 1 species